ensembl:lncRNA
GUUUUUUCAAAAUAAUAACCUUUCUGACCUAAUAACAGCCUUACUUUUUUAUUUUUGCCAAAUUUAUUUUACAUCCUAUAUCAUAUAUUACAUUUAUCACAUAUUUGGUAGUUAUAUGCAUAAAAUUACAUUAACAGUGGUUAAAACAACACGUUUGUCAUCAAAACGCUCAAUACUGUGGGGACGAGCACGAGGAUAUGUUGUUUUAUGUUCACAUGGAAAUAACUUAAGCCUAAAGUGUUUUUUGGGUGUAAUAUUUCUGUGAAAACAAUCAAUAGAAUAACCUAGAGUACACUUUACAGAGAACAGCAGGGCAGUUGAUCCUGAAAUUGAUGGAAAGAUGGGCUGGUUCUGCAGUUCCAGAGAAAAAGCCAGGACUGGGGUGUGGGAAUGGGUUUUUUUUUUUUUCUCAAAUACACAAUGAGAGACUGCGUUGGCAGCAAGGCUGAGAGGCGUUUGUGUACCUGGCUAUCGUGGGUGCUGUUAUCCACAUUUCAACAUCUGUAGUUUUGUGAUGAAUCUCAAAGUAACUUAGCUUGAGUCACUGUUCCAAAUAAUCCCUUUUUUUCAUACUGAAUGAAUAUUCUGUCUCACAGUUUUAGCCCCUGUUAAAGCUUCCUUCUCAUAAAGCCUACUUUCCUUUGUCCUUUGAGCCUGUGAGCUGCACUCACUCAACUUUGUUGGCUCUAAGUAAGGAAGCUUGACAGCCUGAAGCAUCAGGUCUUUAACUUUGCAUACACUUAACGCAUUAUUCAAAACUAAAUUAUGUUAAUUUUGUACAAAUUAAAUUUUUAUAGGCUGACAUGAAUCAUGAUAGAGAGUAAAGAUAAGCAUAAUAGCUCAUUUUUUAAUACAUCAAAAGGGAGAGGCGAGAUUGCAUUAACAACUUGCUUCUGCAGCCCAAGGAUGACAAAAAAAAUCUUAACAGCUUCAGUUUAACCACACAAAAGCGCUCAUUAUGCACAAGGUACUACAGAUGCCAGCGCUUUAAUCUUCCACCAAGCUAAAGUCCAGAGUUUCAAACAUGACAUAGAUUAAAUGCAUUUUAAGUGUGUUUUAGUAUUUUUUUAACUUGCAGAUGUCAAACUGCGUUCGCUCUUUGAAAUGUUGUGGUUUAGUAAUGAUGCUAAUACACAAAGAGUCACUUGUAGCGCGUUCAUGAGUAUUUCACCUUCUGGAAAAAAAACUCUACUCAGUUUACAAGAAACUCACUUGAUCACAGUCCAUACAGCGUAGGUUAAAGGCCAGCAUCACUAACAGGCCGGGUCAAACAGAUUUCAGUGAAGUCGUCAUUGUCGGGUGUUUUGGGUUUUUUUUUUUUUGUUUUGUUUUCUCCAAUUGUUACUUCCAUCCAUCUGAUUUAAAAUCAGACCAAACAUCUGUUUUGGAGAUGUUGGCAAUAUUUCAGAUAUUUGGGGGUGAAACACUUAAAAGUAUUUGGAGCACUGUCAGAAUGAGAUGUCCUGUUAUGGAAUAGUUACCCAUAAAUUACAAAUUGCAAUAAAAUAAAAGCCUUAUAAUCUGUUUCAAACAACUGUCCAUAAUUUGUGCCACACCUAUGGAAGAAUUCAUGUAAGAAAAAAGGUUCUUGGUGAAGCAGAAUGACAGAUUCAUGCUGGAAACAUUAUUCUGAUAACAGUCUGCUUCAUAAAUGACCUUACUCAAUGACUGGAAGGUUAAUACA